UCAGACGAUGCGUCAUGCAUAUCAAUAAGCGGAGGAAAAGAAACUAACAAGGAUUCCCUUAGUAACGGCGAGUGAAGCGGGAAGAGCUCAAAUUUGAAAUCUUCAAGGUUUUACCUUGACGAAUUGUAGUUUAAAGAAGUGUUUUCUGUUGAAGUUUUGGUAAAAGUUCUUUGGAAUAGGACAUCAUAGAGGGUGAGAAUCCCGUAUUUGACCAUUAUUUUCAGCUGUGUGAUACACUUUCAAAGAGUCGGAUUGUUUGGGAAUGCAGUCCAAAAUGGGUGGUAAAUUUCAUCUAAAGCUAAAUAUUGCGAGAGACCGAUAGCGAACAAGUACCGUGAGGGAAAGAUGAAAAGAACUUUGAAAAGAGAGUUAAACAGUACGUGAAAUUGUCAAAAGGGAAGCGUUUGACACCAGUGUUGUUUUCUCGAAAAUCAAUUAAAAAGAGUUAGAUUUUGUUGUGUAUUGACCUUAACAGCUUGCAUUUCAAUUUUCUUGCUUUUUUUAAUGCACUUUUCGUUUAACAAGUCAACAUCAGUUUCUUUUGUUGUAAAAAGGUCAUUGGAAGGUGGCUUAUUUUCGGCAGAAAGUGUUUAUAGCCUUUGACCUCUGCAAUCGGAGAGAUUGAGGUCUGCAGCGUAGAUCCUUCGGGGUUAGAUACAUUUGUGCUAAGUUAUAGUAUUUUAUAGACAACUUGUUGACUAUGAUUUAGUCUUGUAGCUUACUCGCUUAUGCUAUUUUACCUACGCUUAGGAUGUUGAGUCGUAGAGCACGCAG
rnacentral:rRNA from 1 species